ensembl:lncRNA
UUACCACAUUUCACUUCAAAUGAUUUGAUUGAGGCUGGAUGUUUCCACUGGCCUGGUUGAGAGCUACUGUACUGGCCGAGUUCUGAGAGUUUCUUUGACAGGAAAAAGCUUUUAGGAUGGCCUAAAUGUGUAAUCACAAUAAACUUGUGUGGAUCACAAUAAACUGUGGAAAAUUCUGAAAGAGAUGGGAAUACCAGAGCACCUGAC